rnacentral:rRNA from 1 species
UACAGAGGUCUCAAGCGUUGUUCGGAUUCAUUGGGCGUAAAGGGUGUGUAGGUGGCGCCGUAAGUCGGGUGUGAAAUUUCGGAGCUUAACUCCGAAACUGCAUUCGAUACUGCGAUGCUUGAGGACUGGAGAGGAGACUGGAAUUCAUGGUGUAGCAGUGAAAUGCGUAGAGAUCAUGAGGAAGACCAGUGGCGAAGGCGGGUCUCUGGACAGUUCCUGACGCUGAGGCACGAAGGUCAGGGGAGCAAACGGG